CAGCAGUGGGGAAUAUUGCACAAUGGGCGCAAGCCUGAUGCAGCCAUGCCGCGUGUAUGAAGAAGGCCUUCGGGUUGUAAAGUACUUUCAGCAGUGAGGAAGGUGGGUAUGUUAAUAGCAUACUCAUUUCGACGUUAGCUGCAGAAGAAGCACCGGCUAACUCCGUGCCAGCAGCCGCGGUAAUACGGAGGGUGCGAGCGUUAAUCGGAAUUACUGGGCGUAAAGCGCAUGCAGGUGGUUUGUUAAGUCAGAUGUGAAAGCCCGGGGCUCAACCUCGGAAUUGCAUUUGAAACUGGCAAACUAGAGUACUGUAGAGGGGGUAGAAUUUCAGGUGUAGCGGUGAAAUGCGUAGAGAUCUGAAGGAAUACCGGUGGCGAAGGCGGCCCCCUGGACAGAUACUGACACUCAGAUGCGAAAGCGUGGGGAGCAAACAGGAUUAGAUACCCUGGUAG
rnacentral:rRNA from 1 species